rnacentral:rRNA from 1 species
AUUGAACGCUUGCGGCAGGCCUAACACAUGCAAGUCGAACGAGUGGCGGACGGGUGAGUAAUGUAUGGGAAACUGCCUGAUGGAGUGGGAUAAACAAUGGAAAAGAUAGCUAAUACCGCAUAACAUCAGCUGUGCCCAGAUGGGAUUAGAGAGGUGUGGGGGUCACGGGUCACCAAGGCGACGAUCCCGAGCUGGGCUGAGAGUGUGAGCAGCCAGACUGGACGUGAGAAGCGGUCCGGACUCCUGCGGGCGGCAGCAGUGGGGAAUAUUGCACAAUGGGCGCAAGCCUGAUGCAGCCAUGCCGUGUGUGUGUAGAAGGCGUUCGGGUUGUAAGGUACUUUCAGCGGGGAGGCGUUACCCGCAGAAGAAGCACCGGCUAACUCCGUGCCAGCAGCCGCGGUAAUUC